CUGUAGGUGAACCUGCGGAGGAUCAUUGUCGAAUCCUGCAUAGCAGUACCACUCGCGAACAAGUUUACAAACACGAGACCUAAUCAACUGUAGGGAAUUCUCUGCAUUUGAUUUGUGCCUCUCGGUGCCCUGGCAAUUUGCCUAGGUGCCUAACACACCCCCGGCGCGAGAAGCGCCAAGGUAUACGCUAACAAGGGCUCUAACCGUCCUCUCCCGUUCGCGGGGCACAGAGGAUUGGAGACAGCUUCUUCUAAUCUAAAACGACUCUCGGCAACGGAUAUCUCGGCUCUCGCAUCGAUGAAGAACGUAGCGAAAUGCGAUACUUGGUGUGAAUUGCAGAAUCCCGUGAACCAUCGAGUCUUUGAACGCAAGUUGCGCCUGAAGCCAUUAGGCCAAGGGCACGUCUGCCUGGGCGUCACACAUCGCGUCACCCCUCCAAUUCAGUUGGAUGUGGUGGAAUAUGACCUCCAGUGCCUUGUGGUGUUGUUGGUCGAAAAUCGAGUCCAGAGCCUAGGAUGUCACGGCAAGUGGUGGUUGGAUAACAACUCUCGUCCUGUCGUGUGCCGAACCUCUCGUGAUUGGAAAACCCUUAAUGCACGUUACCCUCCUCCUCUUGGAGUUGGGCGUUGUGUUAUGACUGCGACCCCAGGUCAGGCGGGAUUACCCGCUGGAUUUAAG
rnacentral:rRNA from 1 species